UCACCACAAAGGAUGUGAAAAAUGUGAGGAACCAUCUACCUAUAAUAAUUUCCUUUGGUAAGUUCUGAAAACUCUCUAGAGGGACACGUUAAACACUGUUUUUUCUCUGUCUGAAGAAACAUUACAGUGUUGAAUUUAACUCCUCUGCUUUUGUUUUUGUUUUAAGUGAUGUUAGAUUUUUGAAACUCUGGCUUUUUGCUACUAACCUUGAUUGUUUUCUAUCGUCUGCUUUCCUCCACUGAGAAAGAAAAACUUAGCUGCUCAUGAAUGACGAGUCUACAGGCCGAUAUCAAACCUCCCCUUUCUUAGGCCAAAAUAUACUUUCAAAGGCAGCUGCAUUGCUAGUAACCAUAGGUCUGGCCAUAUAUUGUUACAAGAGACGGAACAGAGACCAAAGCCAGGAGCAAACCAGCUCUGGGGAGGCUGUGCCUCUACAACAAGUCCAAACCUCUGGAGUCAGUGAGAAAGACACUCGCACUGGUAACGGACUGGACGACAGCACCUUGACUCAAUGUGACCGCAACCCUGAGCACGCUUAGGAUGUGGAUUGAACCAAAGAAGAUUUGAAGGAAUCCACUGGUUUUCUUAACAGGACAAUCAUCAUCGAUCAAUUGGCUUACUUGACCAGUUAGAAUAGACUGGACUGAUGUAAGUGAUUUAAUAAAUCAAAGAUGUUCAUUUUGUCUUCUUUUCUAAAUGGUAUGUUUUUUUUUCCUCUAUUAAAAACAAUAGUAGGAUGUUGUAACAUACCUGACAUGUUUCAGCUGGCAAAGUUUAAGGAUGCUUCUGUCUUUCUAGUAGUUUGUUUCAGAUAUUAUGACCAUAAAACCUA